UACACAGUUAUUUAACUGUAAUCAAUCAAGUACAGCUCAUUUAAGCACUUUGAAUAUUUUUAUAUAGCUUUUUUUUUUAAAGUCACAUAAUAACAUCAUUACAUACACUUAAACUUUAAACUUUUUAAAGAAUUAAAACGAAACCAUACGUUACUAACCGCUAGAACAAAUAAAUUAGGCAAAGGUAGCACAGAAUUAUAGGCGUUCCCCGCAACGAGUCAAAACCGAUGUGCGCAUGCUCAGUAGGACAAAUCGAUGGGUAGGAUAAAUCGACAGAACACCGGUGUUACGGAGAAUUCAGUUCCCCCUGUUUCCCCUUUAACGCGCAUGUGCAAAAAUCAUGACGUUUUUUUCAGUCGCUUCGUUGAGCGUCGGUUUAUUUGGAAUAUGUGUUUAUAGCGCCUGUGAUGGAUGUGACAGAUGGUACCACCAGUCAUGUGUUGGCAACCCACCAGUAGAGGAAGACCUUCAUUGUCCGGCAUGUACUGAAGAUUAGACCAAGUAACUGCUUUAUCCUGGUCAUGGCCGUGGAGGAUCCAGAACUGUUCCUGGGGAAACUGGACGUACGGCAGGAGUGCACUAUGGAUGUGAUGCUAGUCAAUCCCAGGGCACCAUCCCAGAUUUUAUUUUAUGUCGUUUAAAAAUAUAUAUAUUUCUAUUAAGCUAUAAAUAUGUAUUUAAGUUUUAAUUUGCAU